ensembl:lncRNA
CAGAGAGACGCGGCUCGGAAGAACAUUUGUCCAUAAGAAACUGUUGAAUGACUUUGCAAGAUGAAGCCAGCUUGUGCGCUGCGUGUGAGCCGGCGGGCCUCUCCGAAAUGCUCGUUCUUCCUCUGCUGCAAACGCUGGUCCUGUCCUGCACGAACAGGAAGCACAGCACCUCCCACGCCAGGGCCUUCACUGGCAGUCUGUGUUCCCGAGCGCUAGCGUCAGGCAGGGCCCCGGCCAGGGGCUCGACGAGGGUGACCUCCUUCCGCUCGCUCAAGUACCCUCUGGUUACCAAGUGACCCAAGUUCCCUAGAAGUGGUUCUGGAGGCUGUGGUGUCCAAAAUCAAGGUGCCAGCAGAUCUUUGACCGACUUUGAGUUCUCACAGUUCUGGAGGCUGCGGUGUCCAAAAUCAAGGUGCCAGCAGAUCUUUGACCGACUUUGACUUCUCACAGUUCUGGAGGCUGCGGUGUCUAAAAUCAAGGUGCCAGCAGAUCUUUGACCGACUUUGACUUCUCACAGUUCUGGAGGCUGCGGUGUCCAAAAUCAAGCUUGUCUCGGGUGAACAUAUGCAGUGUUCCCUCCUCUCCAAAGUGUCACAGUGAAACUGAGUCCUACUCUGAGUCCCUGCCUUCGAUGCGCAGACAAGUCAGCUUACAGUACUCACAGAGCCCAGCGCUCUGCCCAGCCUGAGACCCGGCAGACCGGCUGGAGCCCACCCUUGCCUCCGCUCCCCGCUGCGGUCACCGUCCCCGCUCCUGGAAGCCGCAGGCCUCCAGCCCCGGACCCCCACUACCUGGCCCCUCUGAGCCGCCCUGCAGGGGCUCCGGGCCUCCCCCCAGAGCUGAGCUGGCCCAUCAUCACCAUGGGUCUCGGGGACACUCAUGCAAUGUGGCUGCUGCAUCCACCGGAAACUGGACUUCUAGCUUCCCUUCCUUUUAAAUUAAAACUUCAGAACCGGUACUUCACUCAGCUAUUAGAUCACUCGCAAGUAUCUUUAGGACAAUUUGGGUAUGUGAAUCUACCUUUUCAAUCGUAAACUUGAUGAAAUCGAAAUUCAGAUCAAAUCUUUCCCAUGGAAAUUUAGUGUCCAAAUAGAUAUGCUGCUGCUACAAAAUCUGUACCAGACUGCAAAGACUUAGUGUGAAAAAAGAAAAAAAAAAUGUAAAAAAUCUCAUUUGUUAGUUUUUCCAAAACAUUUUUGAAAGGAUCAUGUUUCGGAGACACUGAGUUUAGUAAAAAUAAAGUAUGU